rnacentral:lncRNA from 1 species
GCUGGUGUCCCUGGAGGUGGAGGGAGCACCCUAGGGAGGGGCUGGAGGGGCCCAAGCAACCCAGCACCCCGGUUCCCUGAGGUCGCCCGAUCCCCACUCCCCAGGGCAGCACAGGUGGGUCCUGAUUCCUGGGCAGCAGGCCUUUCGAUGGCUCCUUCAACCUUGUGACCUCUUUCAGGUCCCACAGAGCUUCCAGACUGGGGUGAUCAGAACUCCCUCCCGUCUCCCAUGUUGUAGAACAGGAGCCAACUACAGGUUCAGAGAGGCUGGGCCACCUCCCUAGGGCUGCGCAGCACUCCAGUGGAACAGAAAAGGACGCCCACUCACAGCUCUGUCCUUAGAGGAGAACCUCUGGGCUUGACCUUGGGGAACCUGCAGCCACCCGCAUCCCAGGGGCAGCCAGGGCUCCAGCUCUGCCACCACCAGAGGGAGGCCUGUCCUGGGAACUCCCGUCUUCCUUCAGCAUUUGGCUGCAGAAAAGCAGGAGGCUCCUGGCACCAAGGAGCACUGCUGGGCCCACGUCAGUCAUCCUGGGGUCCCCUGCCCCCUGGCGGGCCAUCCUGGGGGUGUCCCAGACAGAAGUGGAGCCACCUGGCUGAACAGGCAUGUGUACCCACAACCCCACCCAGAGCGGCAUCUCAAACGCUGGCCUUUACCAAGCUCCUCACAAGGAACAGCUGAAGCCACCAGGCAUGGCUGUCACCCAGCCACUUGGGAUCUGAGCAGGAGGGUCACAAUUUCCAGGCCAGCCUGGGCAACUUAUU